rnacentral:rRNA from 1 species
AUUGAACGCUGGCGGCAUGCAUAACACAUGCAAGUCUAACGGUUUUAUUACAGUGACGGACGGGUGAGUAAAAGUAAGAAUCUACACUUAGGAGGAGGAUAACAAUUGGAAACGUUUGCUAAUACUCCAUAAUGCUGUAAAGCUAAAGUUUUUCGCCUAGGUAUGAGCUUGCGUCUGAUUAGCUUGUUGGUGAGGUAAAUGCUUACCAAGGCUAUGAUCAGUAGUUGGUUUUAGAGGAUGGUCAGCCACACUGGGACUGAGACACGGAACAGACUCCUACGGGAGGCAGCAGUGAGGAAUUUUCCGCAAUGAGUGAAAGCUUGACGGAGCAAUGCCGCGUGGAGGAAGAAGGCCUUAGGGUUGUAAUCUCCUUUUCUCAUUGAAGAAGUUCUGACGGUAUUUGAGGAAUAAGCAUCGGCUAACUUCGUG